rnacentral:misc_RNA from 1 species
UUUCCGUAGGUGAACCUGCGGAAGGAUCAUUACUGAGUGAGGGCCCCUCGGGGUCCAACCUCCCACCCGUGUUUAACGAACCUUGUUGCUUCGGCGGGCCCGCCUCACGGCCGCCGGGGGGCAUCUGCCCCCGGGCCCGCGCCCGCCGAAGCCACCUGUGAACGCUGUCUAAAGUAUGCAGUCUGAGACAAUUAUUAAAUUAAUUAAAACUUUCAACAACGGAUCUCUUGGUUCCG